rnacentral:rRNA from 1 species
GAUGAACGCUGGCGGCGUGCCUAAUACAUGCAAGUCGAGCGAACAGAUGAGGAGCUUGCUACUCUGACGUUAGCGGCGGACGGGUGAGUAACACGUGGAUAACCUACCUAUAAGACUGGGAUAACUUCGGGAAACCGGAGCUAAUACCGGAUAAUAUAUUGAACCGCAUGGUUCAAUAGUGAAAGACGGUUUUGCUGCCACUUAUAGAUGGAUCCGCGCCGCAUUAGCUAGUUGGUAAGGUAACGGCUUACCAAGGCAACGAUGCGUAGCCGACCUGAGAGGGUGAUCGGCCACACUGGAACUGAGACACGGUCCAGACUCCUACGGGAGGCAGCAGUAGGGAAUCUUCCGCAAUGGGCGAAAGCCUGACGGAGCAACGCCGCGUGAGUGAUGAAGGUCUUCGGAUCGUAAAACUCUGUUAUUAGGGAAGAACAAAUGUGUAAGUAACUAUGCACGUCUUGACGGUACCUAAUCAGAAAGCCACGGCUAACUACGUG